rnacentral:rRNA from 1 species
UGGGGAAUCUUAGACAAUGGGCGAAAGCCUGAUCUAGCGAUGCCGCGUGAGUGAUGAAGGUCUUAGGAUCGUAAAGCUCUUUCGCCAGAGAUGAUAAUGACAGUAUCUGGUAAAGAAACCCCGGCUAACUCCGUGCCAGCAGCCGCGGUAAUACGGAGGGGGUUAGCGUUGUUCGGAAUUACUGGGCGUAAAGCGCACGUAGGCGGAUUUUUAAGUUAGAGGUGAAAUCCCACGGCUCAACCGUGGAACUGCCUUUAAUACUGGAAGUCUAGAGUUCGAGAGAGGUGAGUGGAAUUCCGAGUGUAGAGGUGAAAUUCGUAGAUAUUCGGAGGAACACCAGUGGCGAAGGCGGCUCACUGGCUCGAUACUGACGCUGAGGUGCGAAAGCGUGGGGAGCAAACA